UGGGGAAUAUUGGACAAUGGACCAAGAGUCUGAUCCAGCAAUUUUGUGUGCGCGAUGAAGUUUUCGGAAUGUAAAGUGCUNNCAANAGAAAAAAAAAANNCNNGGUACCAACAGAAGAAGUGACGGCUAAAUACGUGCCAGCAGCCGCGGUAAUACGUAUGUCACAAGCGUUAUCCGGAUUUAUUGGGCGUAAAGUGCGUCUAGGUGGUUAUGUAAGUCUGAUGUGAAAAUGCAGGGCUCAACUCUGUAUUGCGUUGGAAACUGUAUAACUAGAGUACUGGAGAGGUAAGCGGAACUACAAGUGUAGAGGUGAAAUUCGUAGAUAUUUGUAGGAAUGCCGAUGGGGAAGCCAGCUUACUGGACAGAUACUGACGCUGAAGCGCGAAAGCGUGGGUAGCAAACAGGAUUAGAUACCCUGGUAGUCCAUGCCGUAAACGAUGAUUACUAGGUGUUGGGGGUCGAACCUCAGUGCCCAAGCAAACGCGAUAAGUAAUCCGCCUGGGGAGUACGUACGCAAGUAUG
rnacentral:rRNA from 1 species